UUUUUUACAUUUUAAAAUGCUUUAGCAGCAAUGUUUACUCAUUAAAUUAGGUGGAUGCUUCUUUAACUGGCCAUAUGUUGUUUAAGUUUGUCCUAGUUCUAAGAGAGGCAGCCUUGUUGUCUUCUACAAAUUUAGCCAAGUAGGUUAUUUCCUUCACCUUGCUCUGGUGCCCUCUUAAGAUCAUGCACUCUUACGACAGUUUUUAGUAACUACAGCUUGUGCCAGGCAGCUUGAACCACAGCCAACACUUGCGCACAAGCCACUUUUCUAUCUCGAAUCCACACUAGAGUAUGUUGUACAGUCAAUGGUAAACAAACAUGGUCCAGUUACACAGCCUGCUGCUCAUGUCUGCUUGAAUUCCUAUAUUUUGUUGUAUGCCUGUUUGUUUACCAUGUCUUCUUAGUUAUAUUUAGUUUUAUUAAUAGUGCACUUCAUUAUUCAGAUUUAGUGAAAAUUGAGUGAGGUCAACACUGGAUAAAGUUUACAACUCAUUAUUGGAUUGUAAAAUUAUUGAUUCAUGAAAACAGAAGAUCAUAAACAUUGAAAAUACAAUAAGAAAUUUGUGAAACAAUUUUUGUUGCAACUGGUACAUUUAAAUGUAUACAGACUUUUAAAGAAUAAGGAACUUUUCCAAGACAAUCUGACACAGAUGGGAGAUCACAGACGAGUGAUGAUUCAGCUACUAGAAAUGGUUUUUGAUAAGAAUCACUUGGAGGCAGGAGCUUCAGAUACAACCAGAACCACCCCCUCUCUGGGACUAAAAAUAUGUUGUAUAAAUGCAUGUUAUUCUAUAUUAAUAAAAAUGUAGAAUGGG